rnacentral:rRNA from 1 species
UACGUAGGGUGCAAGCGUUAAUCGGAAUUACUGGGCGUAAAGCGUGCGCAGGCGGCUUUGCAAGACAGAUGUGAAAUCCCCGGGCUUAACCUGGGAACUGCAUUUGUGACUGCAUGGCUAGAGUGCGGCAGAGGGGGAUGGAAUUCCGCGUGUAGCAGUGAAAUGCGUAGAUAUGCGGAGGAACACCGAUGGCGAAGGCAAUCCCUGGGCCUGCACUGACGCUCAUGCACGAAAGCGUGGGGAGCAAACAGG